GGAAGGUUUGGCUCAGUGGCAGAGCAUCUGCUUCGUACACAGGAAGUCCCAGGUUCAAUCCCUGACAUCUCCA